rnacentral:tRNA from 1 species
GCGGAUGUGGUCUAGCUCGGUAGGACCGUAGCUUCCCAAGCUACUUGCUCGGGUUCAAAUCCCGGCAUCCGCACCA